AAACCGCAUCGGGCCCCGAGCGCGUGUCCGAGCGGCUUAAAGGGGCCGUGCUGCUGCCUUCGGGUACCGCUGCCCCGGGAGACCCCCGGCGGCCCGGCCCUGCGGGGACCGGGCGGGAUGGGGACCGGGGCAGUGGACCCUCGGAGUUGGGAUGGGGCGGGGGGAACGCGGGCGUGGAGCCCUCCGGGGACAGGGCUUGGUGUCCUCAGAAGCCUCCAGAACGUCCAUGGAACCCGCCCCUGCGCCCACCGCCUCCUGCUGUCUUUCCAGCUGAGUUCCGGCUGCCCCUCACCCUCGGCUUCUUCACUCUGCCUCUCCCCAGCCAGCGCCCUGCUCCCCGGUCCUCAACCACCACCUUCCACCUGCCUGGGCCUUCAUCGCCUCCGAGCUCCCCUUCCACACCAAACCUGGCGUCCGUUUUCCUCCAGGCCUGCACCAGCACAGCUGAAGGGGAGAGAGACCCAACCUCAUCCACUGGGCCUCCCCUCAACCAGGGCCACAACCUCAAGGGGCCAUGCCACCUCCAACACCUAUUUCCCACCUUCUACUCUCUCCACACCCUGGGACACCACCCGCCUCUCUCAGCUGACGUUUUCCUUCUUGUUUUGUGUGCAUGGUGCUUGUGUGAGAAAGUGGACACACACCUGAACCCAGCUAUUUCUGCUGCAGCCUGGUUCAUUGUGGGAGAAUGUCAUGCAGAGCCCGGGAUCUGGCUCCGGAUGUGCUCAUUGCUACUGGGGUGUCAUUGCAGCUGGCGGAGCAAGGGAACACAUCUAUGUACAUGCCCACACGCAUAUGUAUACACACAGUUUCAUGGGCGUGUUUGUCUGUUUUUCUUGGGCACCACGUGUUUACUCUGAUGCCAGGCCAACACUACAGGGCUCAACCUGUUCGGAAUGAGGGGCCUCCUGCUUUGGGAGUGAGGAACCUGGCUCUGAUUAUCUCCUGUGUAACCAGUCUCUCAUCCUUGCUUCCACCCCACCAUAUGCUACCCGCUCCUCACCCUGCGUGGCCUCUGACCUCCGCUGGACCACCGAGGCCCCGCCCCCACAGGGGCGCCUGCCUGCCUAGCACAGUUGAGCAAGGAGUGAAUUCCCAGUGAAAUUUUUUUAAUUUUUAUUUUAUUUAUUUAUUUUGGGUUUUUUUUUCUUUCUUUCUUUCUUUUUGAGAUGGGGGUCUCCCUGUGUUGCCCAGGCUGGUCUCAAACUCCUGGGCUCCAGCGAUCCUCCCACCUCAGCCUCCCAAAGUGCUGAGAUCACAGGCAGGAGCCACUGCGGACACAGCCUGAAUUGUCAAUCAUAUCACUCCUGUGCCUGAAACCAUUGACAGUUCCCAUCACCCGCCCUCUCCCCAGUGUCCAGGCCCCUCCUCCCCUCCCCACUAUCAAGACACUGGCUCCUGAUGCUCCCCGACACCACCGAAUUCCAUCCUCCAGGCUUUGGCCCAGUGGCUCCAUCUGCCUGGGACGGUCUCCCCAUAACCUCGUGUAGUUCAGGCCUUUGCGGGUGUCACGUCCAUGGAGAUGUCUCCCCAGCCCUAACCAUCCCUCCCAGGUGCCUCUCUGCCUGCUCCGGGCCCUCCCCCUGUUGCAGUGUGAGCACUGUGAAGCCCACUCUUAACCGCUGCUCCACCAGCCCAGCGUGGCACCAGGCACACGGGGUCAUCGGAGAACAGCUGGUGUGGCUGAUAGGCUCUGAGUUCUGAGUGAGGAAGAUGCAACCCAGCACAGGGACCAGUGCCCAGAGCAAGGGAUCAGGAGGGACAGAACCAUCACCUGGGCCAGAACAAGGGCAGGGUGCGAGGAACCUGAGUGGUUGGACUUCAGGAGAGCCGGGUUUCCGCAGGAAGGCUUCUCUGCUCGGACACUCGAGGGGCAGGGUGGAGCAUGGGGCACAUCCAGGGCUGAGGGACGAUGCAGAGUCGGGGGACAGUGUUCUGCACGUUGGCAGGUGAGGGGUCAGAGGUGGCCCUCAGAAUCUGGCAGGCCUAAUGCCAGCCUUCAAUGACCACCUGAAUUAAAAGUGGAAAUGAGUAGCAGGGAGAGGAGGCUGAGGCAGCAGCAGGGAAGCCCAAAGUGGGCAGUGGCCGUUUGUCACCAGAGACCUUCCAGCAGCUGUGGGAUGGGAGAGGCCCCAGAAGGUCCCUGCAAGCCUGGCCCAGGGCCAUGGAGGAGCCUCAAGAGGAGUGGGCACCACACUGCGGGCCAGACUGGGCAGUGGCAGGGCUGUACCCCAGGGCUCUCUUGUCCCACAGGCCACCAUCAGCCUGGUCAGCCCAUCUCAGUACAGCCAGGGCCAUGAAGGAAGGCCACACAGGAGGACCCCAGGCCAGUGCCCGCCCUGGCCAUAUCCAAGGGGCAGGGUGCAGCCCCAGCACCUCCAGCUUAUCUGUAGGUCCUCUAGGUAAGGCAGGGCUGUCCCUGGAACUUGCCCCAUGGCCCAGGCAGAAAUCCUAUUUGAUGGUUUAUGGAGGGCAAAGUUGAGAGGAAGGAGGGAGGGAAGGAGCAGGGGCCCCGGGUGCUUACUCCCAGGUCUUCACUGCAGCCUGGGG
rnacentral:lncRNA from 1 species